UGGGGAAUAUUGCGCAAUGGGCGAAAGCCUGACGCAGCGACGCCGCGUGAGGGAUGAAGGUUUUCGGAUCGUAAACCUCUGUCAGAAGGGAAGAAACCGCACUGUGCUAAUCAGCAGUGCCUUGACGGUACCUUCAAAGGAAGCACCGGCUAACUCCGUGCCAGCAGCCGCGGUAAUACGAAGGGUGCAAGCGUUGUCCGGAAUCACUGGGCGUAAAGGGUUCGCAGGCGGAAAUGCAAGUCAGUUGUGAAAGGCAGAGGCUCAACCUCUGUAAGCAAUUGAAACUGUAUUUCUUGAGAUGUGGAGAGGCAAGUGGAAUUCCUAGUGUAGCGGUGAAAUGCGUAGAUAUUAGGAAGAAUACCGGUGGCGAAGGCGACUUGCUGGACACAAACUGACGCUGAGGAACGAAAGCGUGGGUAGCAAACAGG
rnacentral:rRNA from 1 species